UGCAGAAUUAAACAUCCCUGUCUGACAGCUCUGAAGAGAGCAGUGGUUCUCCAAGUACAGCAUUUGAGCUCUGAGAAUGGACUGCCUCCUCAAGUGGGUCCCUGACCCCUGUGUAGCCUAACUGGGAGUGAGAAGAGAGGUUUAGAGAAAAAAGAGUAAAAUGAAAUGAACAAAGCCUCCAAGAAAUAUGGGACUAUGUGAAAAGACUAAACCUACGUUUGAUUGGUGUACCUGAAAGUGACGGGCAGAAUGGAACGAAGUUGGAAAACACUCUUCAUGAUAUUAUCCAGAAGAACUUCCCCAACCUAGCAAGGCAGGCUAACAUUCAAUGAAGGAAGCACUAAACAUGGAAAGGAACAACCGGUACCAUCCACUGCAAAAACAUGCCAAAUCGUAAAAACCAUUGAUGCUAGGAAGAAACUGCAUCAACUAACA
rnacentral:lncRNA from 1 species